AAGUCGUAACAAGGUUUCCGUAGGUGAACCUGCGGAAGGAUCAUUAAUGAAUGAUAAUUUUUUUGGGUUUUCCCUGAAAAAUAAUUCACCUUUUGUGCAUUGUUAUUAGAUAUACUUUGGUCAGAGCUUUGAUUUCAUUAUUGGAAUCAACUUCUUGCUGACUCUAUCCUAUUGAAUGGGACAGUUGGCUAUGAAGCGGCCUACCAAGGUUUUUUAUCAAACACAUUUAAUCAACUGACCUAAAACAAAUAAUUAAAUCAUAACUUUCAACAACGGAUCUCUUGGCUCUC
rnacentral:misc_RNA from 1 species